GUGCUCACUUUGACAGCACAUAUACUAAAAUUGGAACGAUACAGAGAAGAUUAGCAUGGCCCCUGUGCAAGGAUGUCACGCAAAUUCAUGAAAGGUUCCAUAUUUUU